rnacentral:rRNA from 1 species
CCUACGGGGUGCAGCAGUGAGGAAUAUUGGUCAAUGGGCGCGAGCCUGAACCAGCCAAGUAGCGUGAAGGAUGACUGCCCUACGGGUUGUAAACUUCUUUUAUAAAGGCAUAAAGUGAGGCACGUGUGCCUUUUUGUAUGUACUUUAUGAAUAAGGAUCGGCUAACUCCGUGCCAGCAGCCGCGGUAAUACGGAGGAUCCGAGCGUUAUCCGGAUUUAUUGGGUUUAAAGGGAGCGUAGAUGGGUUGUUAAGUCAGUUGUGAACGUUUUCGGCUCAAACGUAAAAUUGCAAUUGAUACUGGCAGUCUUGAGUACAGUUGAGGUAGGCGGAAUUCGUGGUGGAGCGGUGAAAUGCUUAGAUAUCACGAAGAACCCCGAUUGCGAAGGCAGCUUACUAAACUGUGACUGACAUUGAUGCUCGAAAGUGUGGGUAUCAAACAGGAUUAGAUACCCGGGUAGUC